CCUACGGGGGGCAGCAGUGGGGGAUAUUGCACAAUGGGGGGAACCCUGAUGCAGCGACGCCGCGUGGGUGAAGGAGUAUUUCGGUAUGUAAAGCCCUAUCGGCAGGGAAGAAGCAAGACGGUACCUGACUAAGAAGCCCCGGCUAACUACGUGCAAGCAGCCGCGGUAAUACGGAGGGGGCGAGCGUUAUCCGGAUUCACUGGGGGUAAAGGGAGCGUAGACGGCAAUGCAAGCCAGGGGUGAAAGCUCGGGGCCCAACCCCGGGACUGCCCUUGGAACUGUGCGGCUAGAGUGCGGGAGGGGCAGGCGGAAUUCCUGGUGUAGGGGUGAAAUGCGUAGAUAUCAGGAGGAACACUGGCGGCGAAGGCGGCCUGCUGGACCGCGACUGACGUUGAGGCUCGAAAGCGUGGGGAGCGAACAGGAUUAGAUACCCCGGUAGUC
rnacentral:rRNA from 1 species